CGGGGUGCACCAGGCGCGAAAACUUUACAAUGCGGGAAACCGUGAUAAGGGGACACCGAGUGCCAGCAUCAUAUGCUGGCUGUCCAGGUGUGUAAAAUACACCUGUUAGCAAGGGCCGGGCAAGACCGGUGCCAGCCGCCGCGGUAACACCGGCGGCCCGAGUGGUGAUCGUGAUUAUUGGGUCUAAAGGGUCCGUAGCCGGUUUGGUCAGUCCUCCGGGAAAUCUGACGGCUCAACCGUUAGGCUUUCGGGGGAUACUGCCAGGCUUGGAACCGGGAGAGGUAAGAGGUACUACAGGGGUAGGAGUGAAAUCUUGUAAUCCCUGUGAGACCACCUGUGGCGAAGGCGUCUUACCAGAACGGGUUCGACGGUGAGGGACGAAAGCUGGGGGCACGAACCGGAUUAGAUACCCGGGUAGUCCCAGCCGUAAACGAUGCUCGCUAGGUGUCAGGCAUGGCGCGACCGUGUCUGGUGCCGCAGGGAAGCCGUGAAGCGAGCCACCUGGGAAGUACGGCCGCAAGGCGGAAACUUAAAGGAAUUGGCGGGGGAGCACAAGGGCGAU
rnacentral:rRNA from 1 species